rnacentral:rRNA from 1 species
GAUGAACGCUGGCGGCGUGCCUAAUACAUGCAAGUCGAGCGAACAGACGAGGAGCUUGCUCCUUUGACGUUAGCGGCGGACGGGUGAGUAACACGUGGGUAACCUACCUAUAAGACUGGGAUAACUUCGGGAAACCGGAGCUAAUACCGGAUAAUAUUUUGAACCGCAUGGUUCAAUAGUGAAAGACGGCUUUGCUAUCACUUAUAGAUGGAUCCGCGCCGUAUUAGCUAGUUGGUAAGGUAACGGCUUACCAAGGCAACGAUACGUAGCCGACCUGAGAGGGUGAUCCGGCACACUUGAACCUGGGAAAGGGUCCAGCCUCCAUCGGGAGCAAGCAGUGGGGAACUUUCCGAAAUGGGCGAAGGCUUGACGAGCCACGGCGGGUGGGGUAAGGAAGUUCUUCGGUUCGUAAAACCCUGUAAUUGGGAAAAACAAAUGGGGAAGGAAACAGGCACGGCUUGAAGGUUACCAAAUAGAAAGGCAACGGUAACUAACUU